GAUGCAUAUGCUGCCUGUAAGAGAUGAUGAAGACACAAGUUCAUAGCUUGCUCCUUGCUUCUUAGGUAUGGACAGGUGACAAUCUACAAGCCACAUGAGUGAUCCUCAGCUGCCUUACCACUCUCUACCAGUAAUCAAAGUGUGGGGGACACAUAAGUGUCUUGGUGAUGGGAUGACAAACCUGCUGUAUGUCAGGGUAUAGAAUGCACAAACAGCCUUUGUUCAUGAAAUCCAGUGCACAUGUACACACCUAUGCAUUGAACAGGAGAGGAAAAGUCAGUAUCACAUGCUCCUGAAGCCAAUGAAGGAGAAACAGCAGUCUGAGAUGAAACAACAUUCAACAAAACCUCAUCAAAUGCUUUCAGAGACACAAAUGCCACCUUGGGAUUGAAAUCGUACUGUGUGAAUCUGUUCUUUAAGCAGAACUGAGUCUCUUCAUUCUCAGUGCAGAAGUGCAGUACAACAGAAGAAUAAAUCCAUUCUGCAGGUGGAAAGAAAAGCUGUGGGUUCAUGGUGAGGACAGCACCCAUCUGCCCCAGAUAAAUGUAAGUCCAUCUUCCCUUUGUUUACCUUUUGCUCCAUAACAAAACCAGAAGCUGCUUGAUAAAAUUCCCUUUGGAUUACAACCGUAAAUAAACCCGUUCUGCAUUCUUAAAUACAGAAUGCAGUUUUUGUGGCAGAUAGCUUGUAAGCUGUAAACAUAAAAAUCACAUACGAAUAAAUAAGUGUUGAGAAAGCAGUUAUGUGACAUAAAAUGUAUAUGAAAAAAAUGCUCUGAAUAUUGGAAAAAAUGAAAGGAUAGCUCCACGGCAGUAGUAGCUGUACCUGUUCAAUGCACUGAGUUAAGGGAGACUUCUACCUUGCUGUUGUUGUCUCUACAACUAAUUACAUCUUAAAAUCUUAAAACCACUGACAGUUAAGGGAAAACAAACUUGUGUGUUUGGGCAUGGCAGGUCUUUUCUGCUGCAAGCUUCACAGGAGCUUCUGCCUCCACACUGAUCUUUUCUUACACUGCUCUUAGGUAAUGUGUCUUCUGUCUUGUUUGUAAUCAUUUCUCCCUUUUAUUUGUAAUACACAAAAUAUUUAAGAAGCUCAUGAUUUAAGAGUAAUUAAGAUAGUGCUACCUCAAGAAGAUCAAAUGUUACUCUUAUGUACGCUCAUAUUUGUUCUGCUGAGCAGGCCCAUCUCAGUGACAGAGGGAACUGCAAAUAAUACAGACUGACAUCAAACUAGCUAUUGCUGUAAGCAGGCAGAACAAAAGUUAUUUCUGCAUUUCUUGACACAGAAACACAUGGGUGGCUAUAUACUGUGUGAAAAAAAACACUACACUGUUGUGUGCUUAUGACAAAAAAAACAGGAAUCCUUUGCCAAUAAAAUACUGUUAUUUUUGGAUAAACAAAACCAAAAUCAAGAGCAAACAAGUGUAUAUAUGCCGUGCAUAACACACAGUCCCAUAUCAUCAACAUUAGUGAUUUUAACAGUGUACUUCCUGAAAUGGGAGUUUUCACUAGAAUGAAAAUUGCUUCCACAUCACUUGGAAGUAAAGCUUACUGCUGUCAGGUUGCCAGAACCCCUAAAUGAGUGUUCAAGCAUCAUUACCUCUUUCAGUGAUUUCAUAUAUUUAUACUUACUGUCACAAGUAGGAGAGGAUCAGCAAGGAUUUGUUCCUUGUUCAGAAGAUCAUGGAGUCUGCUACCUGCCAGCAGGCCCUGCUUCCAGCAGCUGAAGCUCUUACUCAUCACAAAUCUUGUUCCUGACAUACUUCAGCAUCCAAUACUUCUUUUACACCUUCCGAGGUCCUAUAUUUAGGUAUUUCUUCUUCUCCGCAGUUGCUCCAAGCCAGAAACAUAUCCCUUUACAUAGAAGAUUCUUAAAUUUGUUCACACUGCUUUUUUGGCAUUUGUUUCCUUUGUAAGUUCCACUUCUGUAGACUGUUCGGUACUAAGCUUAUUAUGAAAGUCUAGGUGGUAUUCCACAUUAUAAAUCACAGAUACACACAAGAUUGGCAGGAUUCUUGAAUACUGGCCUGCAGCAUCCCAGAUCCAUAGUGCCAGAGAGAGAUGCGGACAGAUCUUUGGUCUUGAAGGCCAGAAUUUGGUCAUAUUCACAGACAUGUUUGGAAGCUUGCAAAAGGAGGCCAAGAGAAGGAACAGGGGAUGUCACUGAUGAGCUGUGCAGAAAUGUCACCUCCUGGAGAACCAUCUAGUUAGAUAGAUUACAUCUGAGUUCUGCUAAUGCUCUUCAUUAAGCAAACACGUUCAGCACUGCUGCAGUCACGACUGGAAUACACAGCACACCAGCAUAUGUUGAAAUCCAGGACACCCAGUUCAACAGAAAGAGUGAGUAAUAUAAAUGGCAUUAACUGAAAUAAAUUUCAGGAUGUUUUUUGAUGGAAAGCAUGCUCAUAUCUCGAAAUCAAACCUUUCAGUAGACAAAUAAAUGGCUUCAACAUUUUUCAGGAAAUCUCAGUAGCAUUCCUUGGGCUUGUAGAUCAAGCUUACUGCAGUCGAGCAGGCUUAAAUGCAAUGUUACGAUGCUUUUUUCUUUUUACAUAUUUUGAAUGGAACAAUGGAAUAACAAUGAACACACACAUUCUUGUGUUUCUGAUGCAUUCUUUUCUUGCAGAAGCCCCAGUCGGUAGUAAAGCAGUUCACAGCACAGACAUUUCUGUAGAGGAGAAGCUCCUGCAGCAGGUACAGAGGAUAAAAGUGUCAGUGAUGCAUUUUCACCUCUGGCUCCACGCACUGGGACAUUUCCCCACCUUCUAACAGCUAAAUGUUAUCAGGUCUCUUCUCACCUUUUCAACAGAAUGCUUCAACAAUACUCACCCGUUUUUGUUCAAGACAGCAGGGAAUGAAGCUCAUCAAACACAUUGCCUACAGCAUGCAGUCUGACACACUGGACUAAUAAUAGCUUUCCUGUCAUCACAAAAUAUCACAUUUAUGUGUGGCAUCCAGAAUGGAGCCAACCAAAGUGAGCUGCAUGGCCACACAUCUACACACACUUAUUCACAUUGGUGGGCACCAGGAAAGGACAGGCAGCAGAGCAGCCAUCUGCAUACAGUAGACACGAUGUGUUUUAGACGAGUUUCCUUCUCUUAAGCUCUGUAAUUGCUGUCAUUAACACUGAGCAGUAUGACAGCAAAAGAAUAAUCCCACAAAUGUAAUGGAUCAACUUAUAAGAAGUUAAAAUUUGUCGAUUUUAAGUAGCUAACCAUCAUUUCCCUUUUGUCAUGUAUUAGGAGGGCCACCAAGAUGAUCAGAGGGAUGGAGCUCCUCUCCUGUGAAGAGUGCUUAAGGGAACAGGCCUUUGUUUAGCUUGGAGAAGAGAAGGCUCUGGGCAGACCUCACUGUAAUCCUCCAAUAUUUGAAGGGAGCUCAUAAACAAGAGAGGGAAUGACUUUUUACAAUGAUAGAUAAUGAUAGGACAAGGGGGAAUGGUUUUAAUUGUGGUUUGUUUUUUUUUUUUUGGUCUACCAGUUGGCAAUCCUGUCCAUGGCAGGGAGGUUGAAACUAGGAUGAUCAUUAUGAUCCUUUUCAACCCACGCCAUUCUAUGAUUCUAUGAUAAACUAAGACGGGGAGAUUUAGGUUAGGUAUUAGGAGAAAGUUUUUCACUCAGACAGUGGUGACACACUGGAGCAGGUUGCCCAAGGAGGCUGUGGAUGCCCCAUUCCCAGAGGCAUUCAAGGCCAGGCUGCAUGUGGCUCUGGGCAGCCUGGUCUGGUGGUUGACAAUCCUGCACACAGCAGGGGGGCUAAGCUAGAUGAGCGUUGUGGUCCCUUUCAACACAGGCCAUUCUACGAUUUUAUAUAAUUCCAUGCAGUUAUUGGGGUUUUUUGUUUUGUUCUUUUUGAGAUAAUUCAGUCAUGUACUAUAUAACAUCUCACCUAAAUCUCCCCACUUUAGCUUAAAGUCAUUAAUAAACUAAGUGUCCAGCCCUGCUGUCCUGCUUCACAGUGCAGGCCCAGUAAGAAAAGCUGCAAUUAAUAAGUAAAUGAAAGCUGUCUGCAAGCACGUCCUCACAGCACAGCAGAUAGCAUGGAGGCUUCUGUUACAGCUGAAGGGUCAUAGAAAUCUAAUCCAUUGUGAUAAUUAAAAGCUGACAGGAGAUGAGCCCCUGACCUUGUGAUUCAUGGAGUUUUUCCUCAAUGGCGUAAGGGUCAGCUGCAACCCGGCCACCCUCUGAAGCCCUGAGGUCCCCCUGAGGCACACAUUGCAAAAUGGGGCACACUUGGACAUGCAGUGCCCAACCUCUCUGUACCCCUGAGUACAGCAGGUGCAGCACUGAGCGAUGUACUGAGCGCCACGCUUCAGCCUUUGGACGUGCAUCGCUGGACUGAGCGACCACUGGGUGGCAAUGACAAUCUCCUGGAAAACAUUUUCCUGCAUUUGCUGAUCUCGGCUUCCUUUCCUGCUCCUUCCCUUCUGUUCUUUUCGUUAUUUUUUUUUU